UGCCCAGCAACUCCUAUCCCUACCUCCGCGUGGUAUCGGCUGGAAACUACGAGGGAAGAUCGGGUAACUAACCCCGGUGGGAACUUUGGUCGUAGGCUGACAGGGAAAG
rnacentral:ribozyme from 1 species